AUUGAACGCUGGCGGCAUGCCUUACACAUGCAAGUCGAACGGCAGCAGGGGGCCUUUCACUGGUUUGCGGGUGGCGGACGGGCGAGUAAUACAUGUGUACGUGUCCGGUCGUGGGGGAUAGCUCGCCGCAAGCCGGGGUAAUACCUCAUACGAACCACGGCAGAAAGCGGGGGGCGGUCGUUCCUGGCGCUAGCGGGUUGGCGUAUGGCUGAUUAGCUAGUUGGUGGGGUAAAGGCCUACCAAGGCGACGAUCAGUAGCUGGUCUGAGAGGACGACCAGCCACACUGGGACUGAGACACGGCCCAGACUCCUACGGGAGGCAGCAGUGGGGAAUUUUGGACAAUGGGCGAAAGCCUGAUGCAGCCAUGCCGCGUGUGUGAAGAAGGCCUUCGGGUUGUAAAGCACUUUUGUCGGGAAAGAAAGCCGUGAAUUUAAUACCGUCGGGGGAUGACGGUACCGGAAGAAUAAGCACCGGCUAACUACGUG
rnacentral:rRNA from 1 species